UACGGAGGGUGCGAGCGUUGUCCGGAAUCAUUGGGCGUAAAGGGCGCGUAGGUGGCGGGACAAGCGUGCGGUGAAAGCUCGGGGCUCAACCCCGAGUCGGCCGUGCGAACUGUUUUGCUGGAGCACUGUAGAGGCAGGCGGAAUUCCGGGUGUAGCGGUGGAAUGCGUAGAGAUCCGGAAGAACACCGGUGGCGAAGGCGGCCUGCUGGGCAGUUGCUGACACUGAGGCGCGACAGCGUGGGGAGCAAACGGG
rnacentral:rRNA from 1 species